rnacentral:lncRNA from 1 species
CCCUUUUUUAACUUAAUUUGGGAAAAAAUUAUUGACCAAUACGAAUAUAUAUAAAAUCGAUGUCAAUUAAACACAAUUUGCAGUAAUUUUGACCCCAUCCCAAACUAAUUAAAUAAAGUUUUUUACCCUUCUUUGAUUUUUUGAUGUCGUCCCUAACAAAAUCUAUAAGCAUUGAUUUUUGACAUAUUUCAGUAUUUUGGACUUUUUUUCUAUCUCAAAGUAUUUCCUUUGUUCUGAAGGAAAGACGCAAUCAGUUGUAGUUUCAUUUUUUUUAAAGUAUUUCAAAAGUUCCUUUUUUUCUUUCUUUCUGACGGAGAUGAUGAUUUUUAACGGACUCGGACAUUUUCCAACCAUAAUGAAAUAAGUUAUGAUGUUAUUACAUGUGUAUGUGCGACAAGGACGUGAACUUUGACAUGUUUUCGAAAAUUGUGGCGUUGGAUCUAAACCUAUUAUAUUACUUUUAUUUAUAGUUAACUUUUCACCGUUAAAAAUCAAUGAUUGCUUCCUUUUGUCAAAGUUUAAUAGAUUGUGUCCAUACCUGCCACUACUGUCACUAUUUGUUGGGGAUUUCCCCCAUGCAGGCUCCAAAAUGGAAAUUUUGAAAGAGCAAAUUUGUCCACAAUUUCAAACAAAACAAUUAAUUUGACAAUGGCUAUAGGCUUGUAUAAGUAUUAAGAAGCCAAAAAACAACAUCAACAUGUAUUUGAAUGUCCCCUUGAAGGUUUUGUGGAACUAUGGGAACCAUUUUGCACGUAAAACCCCCAUGGGUAUUUGGAAAACUUGGCAGGUAUGUAUCUCUUGGGAAGCAGGACAAAUCGCCCCACUGGCAAAUCGCCCCACACCUAAUCGCCCCACUUUUUCACCAACUCGCCCCGCUUUAAAAAAAAAAAAAACGCCCCAAACUGAUUUACCAAUUUGCCCCACUUUUUAAAAAAUCGCCCCACAUGUGAAAUGGUUUAAAUCAUGUUUAAUAUUACUCCUGCCAACUCGCCCCACUUAAUGGUAAACGGUAAUAUCUAGAUUAAUAUAUAAUUUUCAUGUCUGCCAACUCGCCCCACUUUAAUGAAAACUAAUCUACACAAAAUACAGACAAACCGAAAAUUUAUUUAAUUACUAUUAUU